GGUGAACGCUGGCGGCGUGCCUAAUACAUGCGAGUCGAGCGAACAGACGAGGAGCUUGCUCCUCUGACGUUAGCGGCGGACGGGUGAGUAACACGUGGAUAACCUACCUAUAAGACUGGGAUAACUUCGGGAAACCGGAGCUAAUACCGGAUAAUAUAUUGAACCGCAUGGUUCAAUAGUGAAAGACGGUUUUGCUGUCACUUAUAGAUGGAUCCGCGCCGCAUUAGCUAGUUGGUAAGGUAACGGCUUACCAAGGCAACGAUGCGUAGCCGACCUGAGAGGGUGAUCGGCCACACUGGAACUGAGACACGGUCCAGACUCCUACGGGAGGCAGCAGUAGGGAAUCUUCCGCAAUGGGCGAAAGCCUGACGGAGCAACGCCGCGUGAGUGAUGAAGGUCUUCGGAUCGUAAAACUCCGUUAUUAGGGAAGAACAAAUGUGUAAGUAACUAUGCACGUCUUGACGGUACCUAACCAGAAAGCCACGGCUAACUACGUG
rnacentral:rRNA from 1 species